UACAGAAAAGAUUCUGAAAACAAAAUCAAUGUUCAAAAAUCCAUAGCAUUCUAAGCUUAACAGGGUUGGGCCUGGUUAGUACUUGGAUGGGAGACCACCUAGGAAGACCAGGUACUGUAG
rnacentral:rRNA from 1 species